GAUGAACGCUGGCGGCAUGCCUUACACAUGCAAGUCGAACGGCAGCACGGACUUCGGUCUGGUGGCGAGUGGCGAACGGGUGAGUAAUGCAUCGGAACGUGCCAUUGAGUGGGGGAUAACGUAGCGAAAGUUGCGCUAAUACCGCAUAUUCUGUGAGCAGGAAAGCAGGGACCGCAAGGCCUUGCGCUCUUUGAGCGGCCGAUGUCAGAUUAGCUAGUUGGUGAGGUAAAGGCUUACCAAGGCGACGAUCUGUAGCGGGUCUGAGAGGAUGAUCCGCCACACUGGAACUGAGACACGGUCCAGACUCCUACGGGAGGCAGCAGUGGGGAAUUUUGGACAAUGGGGGCAACCCUGAUCCAGCCAUGCCGCGUGAGUGAAGAAGGCC
rnacentral:rRNA from 1 species